ensembl:lncRNA THUMPD3-AS1 THUMPD3 antisense RNA 1
CUGGGAUUCUGUCCCUGACCGUCUUCACAGUCCAGGUGAUCUUGACUACUGCUUUACAGAGAAUUGGAUCUGAGGUGUGGAAACAGGAAGAGAACUAGAACUGGAAGUAAAGCAUUGAAGAUGUGACUGAAUUGCUGCAAUCUCAUGAUCAAAUUUGAAUGGAUGAGGAGUUGCUUUUUAGGGAUGAGCAAAGAAAGUGGUUUCUCGAGAUGGAAUCUACUGGUGAAGUUGCUGUGAACAUUGUUAAAAUGCCAAUAAAGGAUUUAGGAAUUACAGAAACCUGGUUGAUAAAGCAGUGCCAGGGUGUGAGAGAGUUGACUUCAAUUUUGAAAUAAGUUCCACUGGCUGGGUGUGGUGGCUCACACCUGCAAUCCCAGUACUUUAGGAGGCCGAGACUGGUAGAUCAUUUGAGGUCAGGAGUUCAAGACCAGCCUUGCCAACAUGGUGAAACCCCACCUCUACCAAAUUAGCCAGGUUGCUCCUUGAGGGCAGGACAGUUCUUAUGGCUUUAUCCGUUGCGUAAGCACAGAGAGGUCUGCGAGGUCAAAACUAUUGUCAUGAUAGCAAGAUGCCUGUCUUUUUCAUUUAUUCUCACGGUGUGCAGAGGCUACAUGAUGUGUGAUGACAUCCUCAUUGAUGUUAAUGAAUGGUGCUAUACUUGAAUUUUCUAAGGUGUCAUUAGGUAGGUUUAGGUAUGCAUACUUGUUUUUAGAAAUUAUUUUUUUCCUUUUUCCCAUUUUUAGAAAUCAACUCAUUUUUUAGGUUAUGCCUUCAGUAAUCUUUGCAACCUCAAUAUUGUGUAAUGGUUACUUUAAAAUACUGUAGUUUUCUUUGUGCCUAAGUAUAAACAUAAGUACAUUUUGUUGUUUUGUUUGCAAUAGUGGUUUAAAUAUUUUCCCAAAAUAUCCAAAUUUAAAAAUUCUACAACUUUAGAAUUUAAUAAAUUUAUUCUAAAAUAUUUAUAUAUUUUUUCAUUUAAGAAUGGAUCGGCUUAAAAAGACUGCUUCUCAUUUACUUACUGGCUAUACCAUCUGUAUACUAAUAAAAAACAAGAUUUGAUUUGGAAGGACUGACUCAAACUAACGAAAAUAUGAAACCUGUCUUUCUGCUUUGGAGAUAUUUACCUAAUCAUGUUCUGCAGUAGAAUAAUUUAGUUCUUUUGUCUUUUUUUGGAGAUGAGGUCUUGCUGUGUUGCCCAGGCUAUUCACAGCUGCCAUCAUAGUGAACUACAGCCUGAAACUCCUGGGUUCAAGAGAUCCUUCUGCCUCAGCCUCCUGAGUAGCUGGAACUAUAGGCAUGCGCCACCAAGCCUGGGCUUUUAAAAAAAUUUUAAAAAGAAUUUUGAGACAGGAUCUUGCCAUGUUGCUCAGGCUAGUCUUCAACUCCUAGCCCUGAGUGAUCUUGCUUUGGGCCUCUCAAAAUGUUGAGUUAAUAGGCGUGAGCCACCAUACCCAGCCAAAAAUUUUUUUAGAGAUGGGAAUGGAAUGAUCUUGAAUAGUGUUGGUGCCACCUAUGUUGUGGCAUCAUUUUGAAACCAAUCAUUCAGAGUGCUUUUUUUGGUAAGGCAUUAUUUUUUAAUGCAGGUAUGCCACUACUGGGAAAAAAAAAAAAACAGGUUUUAAAGCUAGAAAUGAAAAGCUACUUAAGUAUCUUAAAGGAUAAGUUACUUUAUUAUACACUAGAAACAUACACAAUAGCUGAAAAACUUAAAAAAUCUCACACUGCUGAAUGUCUCUGCUGGCUGAAGUGUAAGUAAAAGAUCAUAGUAGUGCCGCUGUUGAGUGAUAAAGCAACUUGUCAUUAAAGAUGUGUGUGCAGACAUGGAUUCUGAGUUAAUAUCUCAUCUGUAGAAGUAUAUAUUUGUCCCUUGCUUUGGGAUUGGUUUCUGGACAGCACUCCCCCACCCUUGCUGGCCAUUUGCCAAGGACACCAAAACCCAAGGAUGUUGAAUUCCCUUUUAUAAAAUGGCGCUGUAUCUGCAUACAACUUACACACAUCCUCCCAUAUACUUUAAAUCAUUUCCAGAUUUCUUAUACUUCAUACAAUGUGAAUGCUAUAUAAAUAGUUGUUACAUUGUGUACUUAUAUUUGUACUAUUG